rnacentral:rRNA from 1 species
UACGUAGGGCGCAAGCGUUGUCCGGAAUUAUAGGGCGUAAAGAGCUCGUAGGCGGUUUGUCGCGUCUGCUGUGAAAGCCCGGGGCUCAACCCCGGGUGUGCAGUGGGUACGGGCAGACUAGAGUGAUGUAGGGGAGACUGGAAUUCCUGGUGUAGCGGUGAAAUGCGCAGAUAUCAGGAGGAACACCGAUGGCGAAGGCAGGUCUCUGGGCAUUUACUGACGCUGAGGAGCGAAAGCAUGGGGAGCGAACAGG